ACGGGGUGCAGCAGGCGCGAAACCUCCGCAAUGCGGGCAACCGCGACGGGGGGACCCCCAGUGCCGUGGCAACGCCACGGCUUUUCCGGAGUGUAAAAAGCUCCGGGAAUAAGGGCUGGGCAAGGCCGGUGGCAGCCGCCGCGGUAAUACCGGCGGCCCGAGUGGUGGCCGCUAUUAUUGGGCCUAAAGCGUCCGUAGCCGGGCCCGUAAGUCCCUGGCGAAAUCCCACGGCUCAACCGUGGGGCUUGCUGGGGAUACUGCGGGCCUUGGGACCGGGAGAGGCCGGGGGUACCCCUGGGGUAGGGGUGAAAUCCUAUAAUCCCAGGGGGACCGCCAGUGGCGAAGGCGCCCGGCUGGAACGGGUCCGACGGUGAGAGACGAAGGCCAGGGGAGCGAACCGGAUUAGAUACCCGGGUAGUCCUGGCUGUAAAGGAUGCGGGCUAGGUGUCGGGCGAGCUUCGAGCUCGCCCGGUGCCGAAGGGAAGCCGUUAAGCCCGCCGCCUGGGGAGUACGGCCGCAAGGCUGAAACUUAAAGGAAUUGGCGGGGGAGCAC
rnacentral:rRNA from 1 species